UUUAUUCUUUAUAACUUGAUAUGUUAUAAACAUUAUUUAUUAUCUACUAAAUAGCAAAUACAAAUGAUAACUCUUCAUUGUUGAUGAAAGCCAUUUUUCGGGGGUACAGGAAAGGGCAUCUUAUAGAUUGGGAGAUGAGGAUUUUGAUGAUUGCCUAGAAGACUUUAUUUUGUAAUAAUCCUGAAGCAAAAUGGCAUGAAGCUCUGCUGACCUGUGAUAACUGUGUGUAUUUCCUUCCAGUGUCUCACCAACUGGCAGCCAUCCACUUCAGGUGUGCCCGUUGAAGGAUGCCACCUCGAAGGAGAUGGGACCAGCCUUGUGUUGGGGUGAGGAUUCUGGCCACUUGAUCUGGGCAGGAGUGCUCUGCUCAGAGUGCAGUGCUCAAUCUUACAAGCCUGGCUCGCCUGAACUGUGAAAGGUCAGCAGGACUAAGCUGAGCGCCAGGAUUCCAACUUCCCUUCUUCCGCCCCAGGUCUGGCAACUUGUAAAUGUGGAGGCUCUGCUAAGCACUGGGAUUUUAUUAAGGGCCUCGUUAAAAUUUACUAGAAUCAAAUAAAGAAAAGAUCCAGCCUUGGAAAUCAUUCUCCACGCUGUCUCUCCUUCUGACCUCUUCUCAACCCCCAUCCCCCACACCAUUUAUUCAUCCGUGAAACCUUUAACAACUGAACUAAUUCUGGAAAGUUGCCCAUAUCAGAUAUCUUCAGAAAUCACUUUGGAAAAUGCCUUUAGGAAGGUAGGACACCUCUUCCCAUUUGUCUUAUGAUGGCAGGUCCAGAGCUUACAUGAAGAGGCAGUGAGGCAAAGAUGUAAAGAAUAUGGACUCUUCAGUCAGACCUGGGAUGAACCCCGGCCAUUACCUACUCACGGAGGAGCCUGGGCCACUUAUCUAACCUCUCUGAGGCUCACUUUCUGCGUCUAUCAAAUGAGAAUAGCGCUACUAUCUGCUGUAUGAAACACUGACCGAGUUAAGCAAAAUAAUGCAGGUUAGCUGCUUAAUCCAGUGUCUAGCACAUAGCAAGUGCCAAAAAUGUGAGCGAUUAAAAGGGGUCUUUUACUAGCACUGGCCACAUCCCCAUCUUAUCGCUUUAUCUUCCAUUGAGCAGAGGUUCUGCCAGGUGCAGGGGACAAGGGAGAAGAAAAGACACGCACAUUCUCCUGGGCUUCAAAGUUGUCCCAUCCUUCUGUGAUGUCAUAAUCUGAGCCAUAGCCCACAAAUGUGAACUCCAACAACCCCCAAACCCAGUCCUCACCUCCCACAUGCUUUUCAUCACCCGCUCUCACAUCCCAUCUGGGGCCUCUGCUUCCAUCCUACCAUUUCGCAAGCCUGGCCAACUCAAGCUCCGUGUGCUGCACCUAGAGCAGCCCAUCUCUGUGUCAGGAGAACUGCAAUCCAAGCAAAUGUGGUGGGUGUGAAGCUUUCAAGAAGUUGGGUCAAGAACAAGGACUGAAAGAGGAGCAUCAAUUUAUGGGGGCCACUGAGGCUUUCAGAGAUUUUGUGACCUACCAAACUGGCACAGCUAGUAAAUGGAUGACAAGAGGUGUACAGUGACUUGCCCAAAGUCAAACAGCUUGUAAACUGCAGACCCAGGAGCCAAACCACAGCAAGCUCUUCCAUCCUACAGGAAGCAUUCUCUGCCUAAUUAAGAAGAGUUUGUGGCCUACACUUCAUGUUCCCAUAGCACCUGCCUACUCCAUGUGAGGAGGACAAGGAUGAAGACCUUUAUGGUGAUCCAUUUCCAUUUAAUGAAUUGCAGAGAAAAUGUCAAGUUCAUCAGCUGAAACGAAAACUCCCACUGUCCAGGCUAAGAGACCAGGGUCAGGGAUGGGAUCCCAAACUUUGAGGUGGAAGAUGGAGAAAGGGUGGG
rnacentral:lncRNA from 1 species